rnacentral:rRNA from 1 species
UACGUAGGUGGCAAGCGAUACUCGGAAUCACUAGGCGUAAAGCGCAGGUAGGCGGUUUGGUAAGUCUUUUGUGAAAGCUCCCGGCUCAACUGGGAGAGGCCAAGGGAAACUACCGGACUAGAGUGUGGUAGGGGAUACUGGAAUUCCAGGUGUAGCGGUGAAAUGCGUAGAUAUCUGGAGGAACACCGGUGGCGAAGGCGGCAUCCUGGACCAAUUCUGACGCUGAGGAGCGAAAAGCCAGGGGAGCCAAA